rnacentral:siRNA from 1 species
CUGCCUCCGAAGUUCAAUGUGC